rnacentral:rRNA from 1 species
AGUGAACGCUGGCGGUAGGCCUAACACAUGCAAGUCGAACGGCAGCACAUUAAUAUCUUGCUCUUACGGUUUGCGAUUGUCGUACUUGUGAUGAAUACAUCUUAAUCUACUUUUUCGUUGUUGAUAACUUAGUUAAACUUACUCUAAUACCGCAUACUACCUACUGUUUAAAUCAUUUGAUCUUCGUACCUUUCUCUAUUUAAUUAGCCGAUUUCUGAUUAGCUAGUUUGCGGGGUAAAGGCCCACCAAGUCGACGAUCCGUAGCUGGUCUUAGAGGAUGAUCAGCAACAAUGGAACGGAGAAAAGGUACAGAGUACUAAGGGAGGCAGCAGUGGGGAAUAUUGGACAAUUGGCGCAAGCAUGAUAAAGACAUACCGAGUGGGUGAAGAAGGACUUCGGGUUGUAAAGAACUUUUGUUGGGAAAGAAAAGCAGAAGGUUAAUAACCCGAUGUUAUGACGGUACCAAAAGAAUAAGCACCGGCUAACUUCGUG